CAGUAUCAGAUGAAGAUGCUCCAUGACUGUGGCUGCAGAACAAAAGAUUUCUUCUUGAGAUAGCCACUGUUAACAGAAGAAUGCCCAAGAAAUGAGGAUGAUGGCUAUCCAAAGGAGGACCCUGCUUCAGAAAGUCCUUUUAUCUCACUAUGUAGUUCUUCUCGGGAGUGAGAGCUUCAGCAGCCAGAAUUUGAGCUUGUACAAGGUUCUCUACGUGCACCCAGUUCAUUUUAGCAGAAGGAUCCCCAAACUUGAAGUUAAGUAUCCCUCUUUCAAUAUUCCUCUAUAGACAUAAGACAAACAUGAAACCAAAGCAAGAAAUAAGACUGGAAAUAUAUGUUGCUCUAUCUCCUUUCAUCAGUAUUUUGGUUUAAGUUGUAUGCAAGCAGAUUUUUGAAAUAUCAUAGAAUGGCCUGACUUUUAUAAUUACAGUAAGCAUUACAUUGUA